UGGGGAAUAUUGCGCAAUGGGGGGAACCCUGACGCAGCCAUGCCGCGUGAAUGAAGAAGGCCUUAGGGUUGUAAAGUUCUUUCGGUAUUGAGGAAGGUUGAUGUGUUAAUAGCACGUCAAAUUGACGUUAAAUACAGAAGAAGCACCGGCUAACUCCGUGCCAGCAGCCGCGGUAAUACGGAGGGUGCGAGCGUUAAUCGGAAUAACUGGGCGUAAAGGGCACGCAGGCGGUUAUUUAAGUGAGGUGUGAAAGCCCCGGGCUUAACCUGGGAAUUGCAUUUCAGACUGGGUAACUAGAGUACUUUAGGGAGGGGUAGAAUUCCACGUGUAGCGGUGAAAUGCGUAGAGAUGUGGAGGAAUAUCGAAGGCGAAGGCAGCCCCUUGGGAAUGUACUGACGCUCAUGUGCGAAAGCGUGGGGAGCAAACAGGAUUAGAUACCCUGGUAGUCCACGCUGUAAACGCUGUCGAUUUGGGGGUUGGGGUUUAACUCUGGCGCCCGUAGCUAACGUGAUAAAUCGACCGCCUGGGGAGUACGGCCGCAAGGUUA
rnacentral:rRNA from 1 species